UUAUCGAUAAUAUUUUUUAAAAAGAAAAAUCACCUCCCAGCUACCCGAUGGGGAAGUCAAAUCCACCUGGCAAAAGUCAAGUGUUUUGGAUCGUCUUGGGGGGUCAGUGCGGCCAAGAACAAUUCAGGCAAAGAAAGCACUUGUCUUGGCUUGGAUUCCCCUGAAGAUACACCCUGGGCUCUCGGGAGGUUUACUGAGAGUAUCUUUAAGGGACAGCGUGGUAAGGUGAGGAGGCAGUGAGGCAGGUGAGCAGCCCGCCCAGCCUUGUCCAGCGUCAAGGACUUUUUUUUUUGCCUCUGCAGAGAGUGUGGAUGACCUUGACAGAGAUGUAGGUCUGACGUUUGUUUGACUUGUGGCUGAUGAGCGGUUCCCAGAGUGGUGGGCGGAAAUGUACCUCCGUCCUGCGGGAGUUCCGGUGACAUCCGCUGCAGCAUCUUCGGAAGCAGGAAAUCAUCAGACAUAGCUUGGGAAUCGUGGGGGUUUGCUGCUAAAGUAGCGUACUGUCAGGAACGUCAAACCAUGCUGGAUGGGGGAGUGGACGGGUCUACACUUGCUGGUGGUACAAGCCCAUAGCGCCUGUGACUGGGUGUAGGAGCCCGAGGUGGUGUAGCAUUGGAAGUGGGUGCUCUGCUGGGUCAGCUAGGCUUGCGAGUGUGACCUCCACACACCAGAGAACUAGAGAGGAAUAAAAAGCCACAGAUGAGGGACUGAGGAUAGCCGCCAAUCAUGUAUCUGAUGGAUACAGGUCUCCCUCAUCCUCUCAAAUCCCUCUGACUCAAAUGCGAUUUACAUAGGGGCCUUUGUGAACAGGAGACCCCUCUAUGGGGCUGCCUCUGCUUCCUUCCCACCCCUCCUGAGCAUGCGCAGACAACGGACGCACAUGGGGACAUCACUGUUUCGCCGUGCCCUUAAUUGCACAGAUCUCCUGCUCGAGGUUCUGACUAAUGGAACUUCCCAGAAAUGGUCCUCGGUGAACAGCCAGCAGUCUGAAGCACAGAAUAAAUGCAGCCAUCGGAGUGGAAUAUUUGAAAGACCAAAGCUUAUGUGGAUUCUUCCUCAUGGGGUGACAGAAAUGGGCUCCCAUCAGGUUCAGAAGCACGCACAAUAAACCCAACGAGAGUGACAACCCGUGUUUAAUAAACUGAUCAAAUGGGGAGAAAAA